AUCUGCUGCCGACCGUUCUGAUGAUUGUAAUUAUCCUACUACAGAUAAGUAAAAAGCCAAUAUAAUUUCGCUGCUGAAUAAGCAAAUUAAAUGCAUUAUUAAAUGCGCAUUCACUUCCUUAUAGGCUAAUGGUACAAAGAUAAAACUUAAAUAUAAAACUGGAAGAGAUCAAAAAUUAAAUAAGCACUUUUAUAAAUAAAUAAAUAAAUAAAGGGCGUGUGUGCGCAUGUGCGCGUGUAGUCACAUAAGACUUAAUUGGUCUGUGGUUUCAUCAUCUAAACCAUAAUCUGAAACCUCGGCAAAAACAUUACAACGUAUAUUGAAUGACGCUUCACGAUCUCCACGUGAACAAAGCUGUGUUAGCUCAUCUAAACCUAUUGUAGUUUCCUCAAUCCUCAUACAGCCGAAGAAAGCAAGCAACGAAACUGCUCACCGUUGAGGGGUGCCUUGUCAGAAGUGAAGCAGCAUAUCUGUGAUUCAAGGUCCCCCUCUAGUGGUGCCUAGCGGGCACUGGACCAUUGAGGAACAGAAUGAAGAUAGAAAGGUGAUCAAGCCUUUUCUGUGCAGGUCCCUAAAUUAUGAAUUUCUUUACCAGAGAACAUCAGAGCAGGCGUUGAAGGCCCCCUAGAACUGGGGUGAGCACUGAGGAAGGAGAGACCACUGGUACAUCCAGAAAGUGGUAUGGGCCAAUGGAUGAGGCACCUCUAGUCAUCUCCAGCAUUGUACCUUCAGUCACCUCCAGCAUUACACCUCCAGUCACUAUAGACUCAUCUGACCGGGAUGGUGUAGUGGCCUCUCCUCUCCUUGUACACCCCAGGGAUCCCACCACCAUUGGGCCAGACAUCCCAGUGAAAAGAAGGGAGAAGGGAGCCAGGCUUUUGGAGCAGACUCUGGUUACAGAGGCUGUCCCCUGGCAGCUGCUGGGCUGGCUGGUUGUCAUGGUUGUCAUCGACUUCAUCCCCAUCUGUCUGACCAUUCUCUUCCUCAGCAACCUCAUCGGGCUCCACAUUGUCACCAUAUGAGAGGCAGGGAUUGUGGAGCAUGACACUGCAGGAAAUCACUACUGGAGAAAGGUAGACUUCACCUAAAAGCACAGAAUCUUUGCGCUGAAUCUUUCCCGUCAGUGCUUCCAGCCACAUGCAGAAAUGCAGGGGAGCCAGCCAGGCGGGCAAACCCAGCACCAAUUUCCUCUUGCACAUCCGGAGAUGGGAAAUGGACCACCCUCUAUCUAUUGCCAUGAUGCCUUCAGCGACCCUGUGCACCACAUCCUGGAUGGUGGUGCGGGGCAUAUCAAAGGCCUUUGAGACCACACGGUAUGAUGUUGGGCUGGCUAGCCAGUACACUGAAGCACCAACCUCCAGUGCUUUCCCCCAACCAUGAUCAAACUCUCCCUCAAGAGCCUGAAACAGUGUGUUUAGGCUUUGUCUGAAGAGACAGAAAUCCUUCUUAAGGUCUCCACCCCAGGGGUGUCGUAGUGGGGGGAAAAGUGGGACAGACUACCCAGGGCCCGAAUGGGGGGAGGACCCUCGAAAAGCCUGGAAUGUUGCGUGAGCGACAUGGAUCAAGAGAGGAAGGGGACCCACAGAGAUUGCUUAUGUAUAGGGCCAAGAAUUGUGUGGUACACCCCUGUCUCCAUCACCAAAGUAGAGACAAAGGACAGGGGUGUUGCGGUUCAAAGAAUUAUAAGAACCUCAAAACCUAUAUAAUAUGUAUGUAUGUGUUCAUUGUUUUUAUUUGUCUAUUUGUAUAUGUAUUCAUUCAGUUGGGGCAUUGAUGGCCCAGUGGUACAGCUCCCACCUGCCACGCCGGUGGCGUGGGUUCGUGUCCUGGCCAAUGCCCCAAAAACCCAGCCACUGGGGAUGCGCAAUUCGUAGUAGUGCCGGUCCCAAGUAGUGCCGGUCCCAAGCCCGGAUAAAAUGGGAGGGUUACGUCAGGAAGGGCAUCCAGCGUAAAACAUAUGCCAAAUCAAACCUGCGGAUCAGGAUGAUCCGCUGUGGCAACCCCGAAAGAAGAAAAACAAAAAUGUAUUCAUUCAGUUGUUACCCAAUGGACAUAUCUAUGUUUUUUAAUUUUUAUUUAUGCUUAUAUUCAUCCAUUGGUGACUGUACUGUAUGUCAAGCUAUGUUCAUUUGAAUGAUUAAUAAAUUAAUAAAUAUUUUAAACAACUGGUGUAUAUUUGUAGGAGAUUUAUUUCUUUUUGCAUAUAAACCACUAUGUGUGUGAGUGUGACUAUUAAAUUAUAGCCUAAUAAAUUAUGUCAAAUUAUAUUUAAAAACUUUGCACCAAUACUUUAACUGUGAUAAUUAUUUGCUAGUAUGUAACCAAACAUGUAACCAAGAACCUCUUAGAAUAUUAGCUAGUUAUGUUAGUCCAUUUACACUGGAUUCAUGUUCAAAAAUCUAGGGCAUAAUUUCCAUUUGUUGAAAUGCCUGUCUCCACCUCCUCUGAGCCUCAUUAUUGGAUUGAACAAUGGAAAAGUAGGAGGUUUGGAAAAAAGUACCGAUUAGCACUGUCAUAUUCUAGUAGAAAUCUAGAAAGCCGACAUGUCUGAGGAAAAAUUAGUUGUCUCUGAGGUUAACUUUUUUUGACGUCAUGUGACAAUUAUUCAGUACACUACAGUAUGUAUAAUUUAUGGUUGUAUCCUGUGUACUGUACUGUAUAGUACUAUGCAGAGCAGUAUGUAGUGCACAGCACAUACUAUUGUAUGUAGUACGCGGUUUCAAACACGGCCUAUUUCUCUAAAACAUUUUAGUGGAAACAUUUGUAUUCAGGUUAUAUUAACUUAA